AGCUUCUGGGUUGUAGUAUUAGUUUUGUUAAGCUUAACCUAGCUAGUACAUGUUAGCUUAUUACUUUAAGUGAAUAAAGUUAUCGAGAUUGAAGAGACCAAACCAGGUGAUGGCUGAUGAAGAGAAGGGACACCACUGCUGGUACUCAACCUCCAAAUAUCUAAACAAGUGAGGUUUGAGCCUAAAUAUUUCCACUAUUUACU
rnacentral:lncRNA from 1 species